UUGGAUGAUUUUGGUAAAAAUGUCCUUGAGGUGUGAGGCCUAUAUUUCAUCAAAACAACUCUGGAUGAAGAUUUCAACGAUGCCCUUGAGUUAAAAUACCGAAAUUAAUAGUGUGGCAUAUUUGUUUACAUUUAUGGGAUUCUAAAUUAAUUUCAAUGGGUCAAUGGAUACGUGGAAAAGAGCAAGUUUCAGCUGGUACAACCGUUUAAGUGGACCUUUAGUCGCUUAAAGGGUGGUUGCUUAAGUGUUAAAGGAAUCGUGCUAGUUGCCAAGCUAGUCCCUCAUAUCUCUUUAGCAAAGGCUUAAACACUUUAUCAGAUAUCUCCUAAGUGAUUUAUUGCCCACUUUAGCGAAGGUCAGCCAAAUACAAAGAUCACUUCAGUGAUCAUAUGCUGCUUUAGCAUUAAUGACUUAAGCAGUAAAGUGAUUGCUUAAGCAGAAACUAUAGGCACAUUAUAUUCCCUUCUUCACUCACUUUUCUCUUAUUUUUCAAGUCUCAACGUCCACUAAACCCUUGAAAACUUGGAGAAUUUGGGAAAGUGAUACUUGGGUGAUCGUGGAGUAUUGGUAAGAUCGAGAAAGUCAUUUCCUUAUCAUAGUCCUUGUUACAUUUUCUUCUAAUUCUUAAUUUAACUAUCCGUUUUUGUCAUAAAUCCAUAGCAUAUUUAUGGUUUGAUUAGGUUGUUUUUUGAACUUAGAAUUUACUUAUUCUUGUGGAUAAAUGAUCCUUGAGCAUAGAGAGACAUGGUGACAGUUUUAAAGUUAUGAUUUAGCAAGCAGGCCUCACAUGGGAUUUUAACUUGAUUUUUGGAACCAAAGCAUUAAAAUUCAAUUUGGGUAUCAUUAUCCUUGUACUAAUGUUUAGAAUACUAUUUUGAUAGGGUGGUAUCGUGCAGAGGCUUUUCAGAAGGAAAAAUCUCCAAUUUAGCAAUCUUUAGCGGGCAUUCUUUAGCAUACAGGUAGGAUGGGCUUACUAAUCUCUUAAAGUGUAAUGUGGGAAUGAUCGGAAUAUUUGUUGAAUGUUUUGUUUAUCGUAUUUGGAAAGUGCACUUAUUUAACCGGGGAAUGCCCCGAGGUAAUUUGUAUUUACUCCCCGGGGAAUGCCCCGAAGAAUUUUGUACGCUAAGGAUGCUCGUGAUCAAGGCCCGAGGCAGCGGGUAAAGCAUGGUUUAGGACUAGUGUAGGUUAUUUCAGUAUUUUUAUUUCGAGUUGUAAUAAUUGGACUGGACUUUACAUUUUUUUUAUUUUUGUUUUGUUAUUGUUUGAUUAUUUUGCGUGCUUUUGUGUGGUUUAUGCAUUUGUAACGUCAAUUUAUCCGAUACGCUCUGCCAAGCGACCGUGGUUGAACCACGGGAUCGAGGGGUGCCUAACACCUUCCCCUCGGUCAACAGAAUUCCUUAGCCG
rnacentral:lncRNA from 1 species